CCUGCUUCUGUGUUUGAGCGUGAAAACAGUACAUCAGCUGCCAGCUCUUCAUUUUGAAAGUAAUGUUUUUUUCUGUUUUCAGUAGGAGAUGCCACUGACCUCCCAAAAAAACAACGGGGAAGUUUUGCACAGAUGUACCUGUAAGCGUGCAGAAUUGAAUAGUAAAUUGCAAGAGUAUGGAGAGCCUCUGUGAUUACAGCCUGUAAUUUUUAAUACACGCAACAGAGAAAGGGAAGCAAUCAGCCAAGGAUCUGCUGCAGUAGAGCCAGCAAGACCAAGCAAAGGCUUUGGUGAGAACCUUCACCAAUGAGCCAGAUAACACUUCUGCUAUAAACCAGGCUGAUAGAUUUUUCUCUAUGAAACAAGAACUGUUUAUUCCUGCAGUCAUUUCCCGCACAGAACACUCUAUGCGGUUGACCUACCUGAGUGAAGUUCAGUGCUACGCGUCACACUGAACGGACAGCUCUGCAGCCCAUGUGGCACGGUGGUUUUGUCCUCCGGCUUCUCUGCUACAGUCCCGACAGGGCCAAGGAACAAAGGAAACUGCCGUUACCGUCAGGCAGGGCCAUUAUGAGAUUGGAAGGGGAAAGCUGGGGGUGAGGGAGGCACUGCCAGGCUCUGGGGGGAAUAUGAUGCACGUGUGCAGCACCUACUAAAUAUAGCACUGGAAGCUGCAAGCAUGAAUACAUUUUCUGCACUGCUACCCAAUGAGAGAAACUGACAUUAAACUGAGGU
ensembl:lncRNA